rnacentral:rRNA from 1 species
UACGAAGGGGGCUAGCGUUGCUCGGAAUCACUGGGCGUAAAGCGCGCGUAGGCGGCUUGCUAAGUCAGGGGUGAAAUCCUGGAGCUCAACUCCAGAACUGCCUUUGAUACUGGCGAUCUCGAGUCCGGAAGAGGUGAGUGGAACUGCGAGUGUAGAGGUGAAAUUCGUAGAUAUUCGCAAGAACACCAGUGGCGAAGGCGGCUCACUGGCCCGAUUCUGACGCUGAGGUGCGAAAGCGUGGGGAGCAAACAGG